rnacentral:rRNA from 1 species
AGAACGAACGCUGGCGGCAGGCCUAACACAUGCAAGUCGAACGCAACUUCGGUUGAGUGGCGCACGGGUGAGUAACGCGUGGGAACCUGUCCUGUGGUACGGAAUAACAUCGGGAAACUGGUGCUAAUACCGUAUAUCCCCUGAGGGGGAAAGAUUUAUCGCCAUAGGAGGGGCCCGCGUAGGAUUAGCUAGUUGGUGAGGUAACGGCUCACCAAGGCGACGAUCCUUAGCUGGUCUGAGAGGAUGAUCAGCCACACUGGGACUGAGACACGGCCCAGACUCCUACGGGAGGCAGCAGUGGGGAAUAUUGGACAAUGGGCGAAAGCCUGAUCCAGCCAUGCCGCGUGUGUGAUGAAGGCCUUCGGGUUGUAAAGCACUUUCACACGUGACGAUGAUGACGGUAACGUGAGAAGAAGCCCGGCUAACUUCGUGCCAGCAGCCGC